rnacentral:lncRNA from 10 species
CAUUUUCAUCUUUGUGUCCUUAGUACCUACCAUGGUUCUUCGCACCUAAUGGAAUUUCAGUCCUGUGCCAUGGAAGCCUUGAAUUCCAGUGCCCGUUACUUCUUCUGCUGCCAGUGGCUCCCAUUUGUGUUCUCUCCUGUGGCAUCGGAUUCGAUGCAGAAAUGGGAUACCUGUGUACUCAUCAGCUCCUAUUCCUCCAGCUCAACCAAAGUUCUUUUAACAGUAAAAACCAAUAUGCAAAGAAGAGGAGGAAGAGAUGGAACCAUCAAGCCCUUCUGGGCUCAGAAUAUGUGUGUGUGAGCGCACAUACACAGGUGCAUGCAGCUUUGCAAUAUAAGAUUAAACUGUACAAUGUUCUAUAAUCUC